CUCUAGAGAAUGAAGCCUCACAAUGAUAUGAUGUUGGCUCCAUUGCACUUAGUUAAGUCAUUCCCACCAUGCAAAUUCGAGUAGGGGUUCAAGAACAACCUUACAAUGAUAUUAUGUUGAUCAUUCUCAUUGCCUACCUUCACAACAUCAUGUAUGCAUAUAGAACUCCUCCUGAGUGUAAGCACGCACUUUGUACUCCCCCAUGAUAAGGUGAAGUCGGUGUACAAAUCACAAACGAUCGGAGCCUACCACGGUGGAAGGCCACGAAAGAGUGUUCAAAGCACUCUCAUGCUUAUCAACUUAAUAAUGGUUUGGUUGAGGGUUUUAGGUCUCCUCACAUAUAAGCAUGCAUUUUAAUCUUAUUAAAACAAUUUGGUCCUAUUACAACUAUUGGUCCAUGUGAUUGAUUUAGUUGUAUAUAAUACUCCCACUAUGCUUGUAAAAUGGUUUUUAAAGCAAGAGUAUAUGAUACUACUAACAUAAGGUUUGCAUUCAUUGAUGGACUAUAUAGUUGCCUUAGGGCCUUAGGAUGACUAUGAACCUUUGAUUCGAUCCAACACGAGCCUAGUGUUGAAUCUCGGUAUAGGGAUGGUGAUUGAUUUUAGUUACGCGUUUAAUCAUAUUAAGGCUUCUUUUUCUUAUUGGGUGUUGGACCCAACUACUCCAAUUUCAUGCAUAUCAAAUAAAACAAGAAAGGAGUACUUCAAAGUAAAGAAGAGCUUAUGCUCUUUUACAACAUUUGAUCAUAUCAAAUUACAACCAAAAUCUAAUCUACACAUUCCCAUGGUUCAAACAAAUUUGAGACGGCCUUUCACAUAGCUCAAUUAUCGUAGGCUUAGGUUCAUAAUCACCAUUUCUUUAAUUAAUUAACGCUUUAACUAAUUAAACUUGAAUGCAACAUUUUCAUUUGGUUUUUGUUUCCAUAGAAUUGAUUUAAAUGGAGCUAAAUGAAAUGAAAAUCCAAUUCUCAUUUAAAGAUACAAAACUAUUUUGUUCUCAACUAAUUUGGGCCAAAUGCAAUAACCUCAACUUUUUGGGCUAUGUUGCAAAACACAAACUUUUGAGGUCACUUUGUAAGAACACAAAAGUCCACUACUUCAUGUAAUUACAACUAGAACCCAAAAAUUUCAUCAAAUACAAAAACUUCAUUAAAGGAGCAAAACAAUUUGUCCUUUAGUGAUUUUGGGCCUUCACGUAAAAACGUAAACUUUCGGGUCAAAGUACAAAUACACAAAAGUAUCAAAACUUUAUGUAAUUGUUUAAAAACCCCAAAAGUACCCUAUUUUAAUAGGGUGGCCGGUUGGUGAGAGUGAUGGUGUCAUAAAAACUUUUGAAUUUUUCAACAAAGUGAAAGGUGAUGGGUUGGUUUGAAAAAGUAGGUUUCCAUAAAACAUGGUUCCUUGAAACAAGGAAAAGGUGUAAGUGAUUGGUAUGGGUAUUUAUUGAAAAUUCAAACCAUCCAUCACAAACAAAAACUUUAUUCAACAACCAAAACUUUUGAAUCAAAAUACCCAACCUUUUUGUUCUUGCCAAAAACAUAACAAGAACAAUGAAGAACAUCCAUGAAAACCCAUAAGAGCUCCAUGAACAUUUUUCACCCAAAGACACCCCAAAAACUCUCAAACUUAAGGGAAAUAAGAUAUUACCAUACUAGGGUACUUAGGGGUUCCUAAAGUCACCUUAAAACACUUUUA
rnacentral:lncRNA from 1 species